ensembl:lncRNA
UUGGCUGGCAGCUUGAGAGGGGUUCACCAUUGGUUAGAAGGGCCAUCAGGACGAAGGGGGGGGAAUCGCGGUCUGUGAUUGGCUAGACCCUCUGCGGGUGGGCGGGGUCUGGCGAGGUCCGGCCGGCUGGCUUCGGAGCGGCGCCGCAGCCCUCACUUCCCUCAGAGCCGCCGGUUCGAGUCCCGCGUCCGCGCCCCCGCCUGGCUGAGAUGCUGACACACCGGUGAGCAGUGACGGGGAGAGCAGCAGAGCGCAUGAUCUGGAGGAGCCUGAGCUGAGCAUGCCAGAGCCAGCGCCGCUCGGCGGGGACAAGAAGGUGGCGGAGAAGAAGCGUGUGGAGAAGGUGGGAGCCAAAGGCAGCGCUACAUCACCUCCAGUCCCCAAGAGCCUCCUCGUGCAGAGGAAGGUGGAGCCCCCCAGCCUGGACCCCGCGGAGGAGCCGCUCCUCUGGGAAGGACUCACCCUCAACAAAUGCAUCCUGGUGGCCUCCGUCGUCGCCCUGCUCAGCGUCACCUUCCAGGUGCUCCAAGCACCGUGCUCCAGGGAGGGAAUCAGCCGUGGCAGGCAGGACCCUCCACCACCUCCCCUUCACGAGGUGGUCAGCCCCAAGGAGGAGGUCCAAGAAGUGGUGACUGCACAGCCUCCCCAGCCAGAGAGCAGCAUGGUCGAGGCCGGUGAUGGUGAUGAUGACGGGGGCGAUGAUGAUGUAGAUGACGACGAGGCAGACAGCAACCUGGCAGAGCCCUGGAUCUUCAAGAAGUGGUUUGGCCGCUCAACACCGAAGGAUAAGGAUAAGGAUGAGGAUGAGGAUGAGAAUGAGAAUGAGAAUGAGAAUGAGAAUGAGAAUGAGAAUGAGCAUGAGCAUGAGGAUGAGAAUGAGGAUGAGGAAGAAGAUGAGGAUGAUGAUGAGGAUAAAGAGCCUGUGGAUGUCCCCGAGGUGCUGCCGGUUGUGAUGGAGGUGAAGAAGAGCCAGGAGAAGAAGCUGGAGAAGAAGGAGAAGGUGGAGAAGGAGGAGAAGGCCCGGGAGGGUCGUGCCACCCAGGCAGAGCGGAGAAGCCGGAGGGAAGCACGAGCCAAGGACAAGGCCCAGGGGGAGAAGCCCAGCAGAGCCCCCCGGGCCCCCCGGGAGCCGGAGCGGCAGCCCCAGAGGAAGCGGGGCCGGGAGGGGAAGGAGAGCCGGCGGGAGCGGGACGAGCCCAGGAAGGAGGGGAGGAAGGGCCGUCCCGGCAGGACCGACGGCAGCAGGGAGAGCCCGAAGCGGGACUGGCGGCAGCAGAAGGGCAAGAAGCCCUGGGAGGCGGUGGCCAGCCCGGGGAAGGACAGCACCGCCAGGUCCAGGGAGGGCAGGAGGCGCGACUGAGGCUGGGGCAACUGAGGGGCUGGAGGAUGCUGAAUCCAAGGGGUGUCCAACCCCACCACCACCCCCAGCAAGGGCACCCUCACACUCCCUGCCUGCUCUCCAGGGAUGUCCCAGGCUGGCAGCACAGGCAACGCUCCAGGAUCUCCGAGCAGAGCAGCCCAGGAGCCUGGUAUGAGCCUCCCCAGGGACUUUGGGCCCCCCUGGAUUAGAACCACAAAGGCAACCUGAAGGGACUGGGGGAAGGAGCGUCUUCGUCUGGGCUUCACGCUAUUUUUCCAUCCCCACCCAAAGUCUUUCUUGCAGUUCAUUUUCACUCGUGGUCCCCGAGGCAUCGGGGCGGCGCAGUGGGCACAGGGAUCCCAGUGAACAGAGUUUGUUUCCAGACUGUGUAGCUCUUCGAUUCAGUUAAUGGUUUUAUUCAAAGCAAAUCAAGAGAGAAGUGCAUUCGGGGUUAACGAAGCCGGGGUGCAGCCGUCCUGGGAGGGAUGGGAGGAUUGACCACCCGGGACCCCAGUGCUGUCGCUGCAGGGUGAUGUGAAGCUUGCUGGUAACACAGCAGGGCUGGGGAGCCCAUCACCCGGGGGUGCCUUCGGGCCUUGCCUUCACAGAGUCGCUUUUUAGGAAUGAAACACAAGUGCAAUAUCACGCAGCGCUGCAGCAGCUACAGGAGACGUUCACAGCCCCGACCCACGUCAGGUUUCAGUAUUUGCUAAAUCAAUAGAGGUUAAAAUAAACUAUUUUCAUUUUUAAUAAGGUAUUAAACU